rnacentral:rRNA from 1 species
GCGAAUUCGCCCUUCGGGGUGCCCAGGCGCGAAAACUUUACAAUGCUGGAAACAGCGAUAAGGGGACCUCGAGUGCCAGGUUACAAAUCUGGCUGUCGUGAUGCCUAAAAAGCAUUGCAUAGCAAGGGCCGGGCAAGACCGGUGCCAGCCGCCGCGGUAACACCGGCGGCUCGAGUGGUAACCGUUAUUAUUGGGUCUAAAGGGUCUGUAGCCGGCCGGAUAAGUCUCUUGGGAAAUCCAGCAGCUCAACUGUUGGGCUUUCAGGAGAUACUGUCUGGCUCGAGGCCGGGAGAGGUGAGAGGUACUUCAGGGGUAGGGGUGAAAUCUUGUAAUCCUUGAAGGACCACCAGUGGCGAAGGCGUCUCACCAGAACGGACCUGACGGCAAGGGACGAAAGCUAGGGGCACGAACCGGAUUAGAUACCCGGGUAGUCCUAGCCGUAAACGAUACUCGCUAGGUGUCGGCCACGGUGCGACCGUUGUCGGUGCCGUAGGGAAGCCGUGAAGCGAGCCACCUGGGAAGUACGGCCGCAAGGCUGAAACUUAAAGGAAUUGGCGGGGGAGCAC